rnacentral:rRNA from 1 species
CACGUAGGGCGCAAGCGUUGUCCGGAUUUAUUGGGCGUAAAGGGCUCGUAGGCGGUUCGUCACGUCGGGAGUGAAACUCGGAGCUUAACUCCGAGCCUGCUUCCGAUACGGGCAGACUAGAGGUAGGCAGGGGAGAGCGGAACUCCUGGUGUAGCGGUGGAAUGCGCAGAUAUCAGGAAGAACACCAAUGGCGAAAGCAGCUCUCUGGGACGGUACUGACGCUGAGACGCGAAAGCGUGGGAGCGAACAGG